rnacentral:rRNA from 1 species
UGGGGAAUAUUGGGCAAUGGGCGAAAGCCUGACCCAGCAACGCCGCGUGAAGGAAGAAGGUUUUCGGAUCGUAAACUUCUAUCCUUGGUGAAGAUAAUGACGGUAGCCAAGAAGGAAGCCCCGGCUAACUACGUGCCAGCAGCCGCGGUAAUACGUAGGGGGCAAGCGUUGUCCGGAAUGAUUGGGCGUAAAGGGCGCGUAGGCGGCCAACUAAGUCUGGAGUGAAAGUCCUGCUUUUAAGGUGGGAAUUGCUUUGGAAACUGGAUGGCUUGAGUGCAGGAGAGGUAAGCGGAAUUCCCGGUGUAGCGGUGAAAUGCGUAGAGAUCGGGAGGAACACCAGUGGCGAAGGCGGCUUACUGGACUGUAACUGACGCUGAGGCGCGAAAGUGUGGGGAGCAAACA